UAAGUUAGCUUACCAGGUUGGUCCAUCGAGAAAUUGAGGUCAAUUGCAUUGCGGACUUGCUUAGCUAUCUUCUAUAUAGCCUUUGAUGGUUGAGUUAAGAAAACAUUCAUUCACAAAAGCUCAAUGAUGGUCAACGUAAUUCACUAAUCAUCAAAACCAAAUAUGCCAUUAUGGUGUAUGGCUUCUUUAGCUCAAAAAAUAAAUACGAUAGAAAAGAGAAGCGCAUAAAUAAAUGUUUCCAGUGCUAAUAAAAGAGCAUAGCCAUAGAUAAAUCUAGUAUGAACAGCUGAGUAUGCAAAUACUAAGAAAGUCCUUUUCUUAGGAAAGGUUCCACCAUAACUUCUGUCACGAUCAAAACUAUUAAAUUACUAGAGACAAAUGGAAGAUCAAGAAUCAAUCAUUCUAAAUGUGAGCAAACUUUCCAAUGAGAUUCUGAUCCAGGGUAUACCCAAAUAUAGGUUCCCAAGUAUUUGCUGAGCAUGGAAGCCAAGGAAACUAUUAAUCAGACAGCUGAACGGCUAUAAAUUCUUU